rnacentral:tRNA from 1 species
AGGUAUUGAAGUAAAAGAAAUUACAUUUAGUUUCGACCUAAACUUAGAAAUAAUUUUCCUUGCCUA